AGUGAACGCUGGCGGCGUGCUUAACACAUGCAAGUCGAACGAGAACGGAUUAUAGCUUGCUAUAAUUGUCAGCUAAGUGGCGCACGGGUGAGUAAUGUAUAGGUAGUAUGCCUCUUACUAAGGGAUAACAAAUGGAAACGUUUGCUAAUACCUUAUACUCCUUAUUAACAUAAGUUAAUAAGGGAAAGAUUUAUUGGUAAGAGAUUAGCCCGUAUUGUAUCAGUUAGUUGGUGGGGUAAUGGCUUACCAAGACUAUGACACAUAACUGGUUUGAGAGGGUGAUCAGUCACACUGGAACUGAGACACGGUCCAGACUCCUACGGGAGGCAGCAGUGGGGAAUAUUGCACAAUGGACGAAAGUCUGAUGCAGCAACGCCGCGUGGAGGAUGACACAUUUCGGUGCGUAAACUCCUUUUAUAUGAGAAGAUAAUGACGGUAUUAUAUGAAUAAGCACCGGCUAACUCCGUGCCAGCCGCCGCGGUAA
rnacentral:rRNA from 1 species